rnacentral:rRNA from 1 species
AGUGAACGCUGGCGGUAGGCCUAACACAUGCAAGUCGGACGGUAGCACAGAGAGCUUGCUCUCGGGUGACGAGUGGCGGACGGGUGAGUAAUGUCUGGGGAUCUGCCCGAUAGAGGGGGAUAACCACUGGAAACGGUGGCUAAUACCGCAUAACGUCGCAAGACCAAAGAGGGGGACCUUCGGGCCUCUCACUAUCGGAUGAACCCAGAUGGGAUUAGCUAGUAGGCGGGGUAACGGCCCACCUAGGCGACGAUCCCUAGCUGGUCUGAGAGGAUGACCAGCCACACGGGAACUGAGACACAGUCCAGACUCCUACGGGAGGCAGCAGUGGGGAAUAUUGCACAAUGGGCGCAAGCCUGAUGCAGCCAUGCCGCGUGUAUGAAGAAGGCCUUCGGGUUGUAAAGUACUUUCAGCGGGGAGGAAGGCGAUGUGGUUAAUAACCGUAUCGAUUGACGUUACCCGCAGAAGAAGCACCGGCUAACUCCGUGCCAGCCGCCGCCGUAA